GAGUUUGAUCCUGGCUCAGGAUGAACGCUGGCGGCGUGCCUAAUACAUGCAAGUCGAACGCACAGCGAAAGGUGCUUGCACCUUUCAAGUGAGUGGCGAACGGGUGAGUAACACGUGGACAACCUGCCUCAAGGCUGGGGAUAACAUUUGGAAACAGAUGCUAAUACCGAAUAAAACUUAGUGUCGCAUGACACAAAGUUAAAAGGCGCUUCGGCGUCACCUAGAGAUGGAUCCGCGGUGCAUUAGUUAGUUGGUGGGGUAAAGGCCUACCAAGACAAUGAUGCAUAGCCGAGUUGAGAGACUGAUCGGCCACAUUGGGACUGAGACACGGCCCAAACUCCUACGGGAGGCUGCAGUAGGGAAUCUUCCACAAUGGGCGAAAGCCUGAUGGAGCAACGCCGCGUGUGUGAUGAAGGCUUUCGGGUCGUAAAGCACUGUUGUAUGGGAAGAACAGCUAGAAUAGGAAAUGAUUUUAGUUUGACGGUACCAUACCAGAAAGGGACGGCUAAAUACGUGCCAGCAGCCGCGGUAAUACGUAUGUCCCGAGCGUUAUCCGGAUUUAUUGGGCGUAAAGCGAGCGCAGACGGUUUAUUAAGUCUGAUGUGAAAGCCCGGAGCUCAACUCCG
rnacentral:rRNA from 1 species